rnacentral:lncRNA from 1 species
GUGGAAGCAAUCGCACUUUGCGGGCAAGCUCUGAGCCUGCUCCUUCUUGGUUGCUCUGUCUUUGAAGGCAGCUUUGGAGCCUGCUGAAGGCUUUCUCUUUGAAAACUGACCAUUUCUAUUUGAACAAAAAGAAAGACGCUGAAUCUGAGCAAUGCUGGGCUGGGAAAAUAAGGGUGUCUGGGAACGUGUUACCGUGGCGCUUUGARCAGAGUCUCCGCAGACGCCGCUCUUGGAAGGCAGGUGAGUUGUGUUACGGUUGUGCUUGCUGCUCAAUGCAGCUUGGACACACAGGAUUCUAUUCUGGGCUUCUGCCACAGACUUCCUAUGUGCUGAUGAACUCGUCUUUUAGACCAAAGCUUUUUCUUUGUGAGAAUUUCCUUGCAUUUUAAAUCUGUGGGGAAUUAAAUGG